CUCUAUGGCUGUGCCAACCCGAAAGCCCCCAUCGUGUCUGAUCUCGGAAGCUAAGCGAGGCUGGGCCAGGUUAGUCCUUGGGUGGAAGACAUCCACGCUGUAUUUUGAUUGUACUGCGUAUGCCCAGGUUCCAGGGA
rnacentral:rRNA from 1 species